GUGGACGCCAGUCUGCGUGGAGCCGACCUUGAAAUACCACCCUUUAAUGUUUGAUGUUCUAACGUGGACCCGUAAUCCGGGUUGCGGACAGUGUCUGGUGGGUAGUUUGACUGGGGCGGUCUCCUCCUAAAGAGUAACGGAGGAGCACGAAGGUUGGCUAAUCCUGGUCGGACAUCAGGAGGUUAGUGCAAUGGCAUAAGCCAGCUUGACUGCGAGCGUGACGGCGCGAGCAGGUGCGAAAGCAGGUCAUAGUGAUCCGGUGGUUCUGAAUGGAAGGGCCAUCGCUCAACGGAUAAAAGGUACUCCGGGGAUAACAGGCUGAUACCGCCCAAGAGUUCAUAUCGACGGCGGUGUUUGGCACCUCGAUGUCGGCUCAUCACAUCCUGGGGCUGAAGUAGGUCCCAAGGGUAUGGCUGUUCGCCAUUUAAAGUGGUACGCGAGCUGGGUUUAGAACGUCGUGAGACAGUUCGGUCCCUAUCUGCCGUGGGCGCUGGAGAACUGAGGGGGGCUGCUCCUAGUACGAGAGGACCGGAGUGGACGCAUCACUGGUGUUCGGGUUGUCAUGCCAAUGGCACUGCCCGGUAGCUAAAUGCGGAAGAGAUAAGUGCUGAAAGCAUCUAAGCACGAAACUUGCCCCGAG
rnacentral:rRNA from 6 species